AGGUAAUAGAGAUCGACGGGGUAAUCCUGGGCCUGACUGUACUUGAGGGUCACGUGAUGUUCCUCGCCUUAAAAAUAACACGUUUCGUGACGUCGUGAGGAAAGCCGAAAAAUGUGAGUUCGAGUGGAGUGGGGAAACGGUAAGUAAAACGGUGGAAAAAAAUCAGCUGGUUGAAGGGAGUAACCAUCUAGUAUAGAGUUCUCUUCGUCCGGCAAGUUUCAUGCAGGAAGAAUACGGAACUGAGCAUUAAAGCUUCA